UAUUUCGACCUUCAGGCUAGAGAAAUUUCAGUUGCCUUCGAGUCGAGCUACAAGCCGGUCGCAUUUCUCUAACAAAUUUCAAAAAUGUAUCAAAAUUUUUAGUUAAAAAUCGCUACACUGCCGACGGCACAAGGGUUGUUUCCUCGCAAUAAUCCGAGGAAUCCAAACCAGGAAACGACAUUGAUCGACAAUAUAACUCACUACUCAGAACACGAUGCUCCAUAACUGCCGGAUGGGCACCAAACGGAGGCCCAGUUCCGGAGGAUCAUCCAGCUGCAAAAACCAUGACACCGGACUACUUUCUUAAUGGAGCUACCACGAGAAGGAUAUACACUAAAAGUUGCAGCACCCCAAGGCGCGCACA